AUUGAACGCUGGCGGCAGGCCUAACACAUGCAAGUCGAGCGAGCGGCGGACGGGUGAGUAAUGUAUGGGGACUGCCCGAUAGAGGGGGAUAACUACUGGAAACGGUGGCUAAUACCGCAUACUAUCGGAUAACCCAUAUGGGAUUAGCUAGUAGGUGGGGUAAAGGCUCACCUAGGCGACGAUCUCUAGCUGGUCUGAGAGGAUGAUCAGCCACACUGGGACUGAGACACGGCCCAGACUCCUACGGAGGCAGCAGUGGGGAAUAUUCGGCAAUGGACGAAAGCCUGACCCAGCCAUGCCGCGUGAAUGAAGAAGGUCUUCGGGUUGUAAAGUACUUUCGUCGGAGAAGCGGUACCUGAAGAGAAAGCACCGGCUAACUCCGUGCCAGCAGCCGCGGUAAUUC
rnacentral:rRNA from 1 species